GCUAGCGUUGUCCGGAAUCAUUGGGCGUAAAGCGCGCGUAGGCGGCCCGUUACGUCCGCUGUGAAAGUCAAAGGCUCAACCUUUGAAUGUCAGCGGAUACUGCCGGGCUAGAGUCCGGAAGAGGCGAGUGGAACUCCUGGUGUAGCGGUGGAAUGCGCAGAUAUCAGGAAGAACACCAACGGCGAAGGCAGCUCGCUGGGACGGAACUGACGCUGAGGCGCGAAAGCGUGGGGAGCGAACAGG
rnacentral:rRNA from 1 species